rnacentral:misc_RNA from 1 species
GCAGAAGUGAGAAUAGUCCAUAUCUUUUUUUCUUAAUCUCAUGUCUCAUCCGCUUAUCAAAAAGGAAGGAAUCCUAUGUCUCAUCCAAUAAUAUAAUUUCUGGGAAGACAUGGCCUGAUUGGCUGUGUCUGUUAAAAUUCUAAUUACAAAGGCUUAGAGGUUGGCAACACAUCACAUGUGGGCCUCUAAUGUUAUAAAUUUCAACAAGAAGCCUAGCACUAUUUUCUAGUUUAUGCCACACUACAAUGUACUCUCAUUUUUGUUGGGUUUGAAAUGGCAG